rnacentral:rRNA from 1 species
GACGGAGGGUGCAAGCGUUGUUCGGAUUGACUGGGCGUAAAGGGCGUGUAGGCGGUCGGCCAAGUCUGACGUGAAAGCCCGAGGCUCAGCCUCGGAAGUGCGUCGGAAACUAGUCGGCUGGAGCGCGAUAGAGGAGGGUGGAAUUCCUGGUGUAGCGGUGAAAUGCGCAGAUAUCAGGAGGAACACCGGUGGCGAAGGCGGGUCUCUGGGCAGUAACUGACGCUGAGGAGCGAAAGCGUGGGGAGCGAACAGG